rnacentral:rRNA from 1 species
CCUUUAUCUGGGGGAUAGCCCGGGGAAACCCGGAUUAAUACCGCAUAACAAAUUGACUGGCAUCAGUUGAUUUUAAAAGAUUUAUCGGAUAGAGAUGGGCAUGCGUAAGAUUAGAUAGUUGGCGAGGUAACGGCUCACCAAGUCUACGAUCUUUAGGGGCUCUGAGAGGAGAAUCCCCCACACUGGCACUGAGAUACGGGCCAGACUCCUACGGGAGGCAGCAGUAGGGAAUAUUGGGCAAUGGGCGCAAGCCUGACCCAGCCACGCCGCGUGCAGGAAGACGGCCCUCUGGGUUGUAAACUGCUUUUGACUGGGAAGAAAAGACUCCUUGCGAGGAGAGUUGACGGUACCAGCAGAAUAGGCCACGGCUAACUACGUGCCAGCAGCCGCGGUAAUACGUAGGUGGCGAGCGUUAUCCGGAUUUAUUGGGUUUAAAGGGUGCGUAGGCGGCUGAUUAAGUCAGCGGUGAAAGGUAGCAGCUUAACUGUUUUACAUGCCGUUGAUACUGGUUAGCUUGAGUUAACAGAAGGCAGAUAGAAUUUCUGGUGUAGCGGUGAAAUGCUUAGAUACCAGGAGGAGUACCGAUUGCGAAGGCAGUCUGCUGCAGUUACACUGACGCUGAGGCACGAAAGUGCGGGGAUCAAACAGGAUUAGAUACCCUGGUAGUCCGCACAGUAAACGAUGAUUACUAGUUGUUGGCUUAAGUCAGUGACCAAGGGAAACCGAUAAGUAAUC